rnacentral:rRNA from 1 species
AGAGUUUGAUCCUGGCUCAGAACGAAGCUGGCGGCAUGCUUAACACAUGCAAGUCGAACGCUCCUGAGGGCUUCGGCCCUCUGGGGAGUGGCGCACGGGUGAGUAGCGCGUGGGACCUGCCCUGUUGUGGGGGAUAACCGAGGGAAACUUCGGCUAAUACCGCAUGCGCCCGGGCAACCGGGGAAAGAUUUAUCGCAGCAGGAGGGGCCCGCGUCGGAUUAGCUUGUUGGUGGGGUAACGGCCUACCAAGGCUAUGAUCCGUAGCUGGUCUGAGAGGAUGAUCAGCCACACUGGGACUGAGACACGGCCCAGACUCCUACGGGAGGCAGCAGUGGGGAAUAUUGGACAAUGGGCGAAAGCCUGAUCCAGCAAUGCCGCGUGAGUGAGGAAGGCCUUAGGGUUGUAAAGCUCUUUCGGCGGGGACGAUGAUGACGGUACCCGCAGAAGAAGCCCCGGCUAACUUCGUGCCAGCAGCCGCGGUAAUACGAAGGGGGCGAGCGUUGUUCGGAUUUACUGGGCGUAAAGGGCGCGCAGGCGGCUAUUUUUGUCAGGCGUGAAAGCCCCGGGCUUAACCUGGGAACUGCGCUUGAUACGGGAUGGCUAGAGAUCGGGAGAGGAGAGUGGAAUUCCCAGUGUAGAGGUGAAAUUCGUAGAUAUUGGGAAGAACACCGGUGGCGAAGGCGGCUCUCUGGACCGAUACUGACGCUGAGGCGCGAAAGCGUGGGGAGCAAACAGGAUUAGAUACCCUAGUAGUCC